rnacentral:tRNA from 1 species
GGGGUCGUAGCUCAAUUGGUAGAGUACUUGAAUGGCAUUCAAGAGGUCGGCGGUUCGAUUCCGCUCGACUCCACCA